GAUGAACGCUGGCGGCGUGCCUAAUACAUGCAAGUCGAACGGAGGAGUAGCAAUACUUUCUCAGUGGCGAACGGGUGAGUAACGCGUUGGUGACCUGCCCCGAAGUGGGGGACAACAGCUCGAAAGGGCUGCUAAUACCCCAUGUGAUCAUCGGUUUUAGAAUCUGGUGAUUAAAGGAGAAAUUCGCUUCGGGAGGGCCUGCGUCCCAUCAGCUAGUUGGUAAGGUAACGGCUUACCAAGGCGAUGACGGGUAGGGGACCUGAGAGGGUGACCCCCCACAAUGGAACUGAACACGGUCCAUACACCUACGGGAGGCUG
rnacentral:rRNA from 1 species